GAUGAAGAACGUAGCGAAAUGCGAUACUUGGUGUGAAUUGCAGAAUCUCGUGAACCAUCGAGUCUUUGAACGCAAGUUGCGCCCGAAGCCAUCAGGUUGAGGGCACGUCUGCCUGGGCGUCACAUAUCGUUGCCCAAUGCCUAUUGCAGUGCAAUAGGAAUUUCUAGGGCGAAUGAUGGCUUCCCGUGAGCGUUGUUGCCUCGCGGUUGGUUGAAAAUCGAGUCCUUGGUAGGGUGUGCCAUGGUAGAUGGUGGUCGAGUUAGAACGAUACCGAUCAUGUGCAUGCUCCCCAAAAUAUGGCCUCUAUGACCCACACGCGUCUUUUGACGCUCAUGACGAGACCUCAGGUCAGGCGGGGCUACCCGCUGAAUUUAAGCAUAUCAAUAAGCGGAGGA
rnacentral:misc_RNA from 1 species